rnacentral:rRNA from 1 species
GAUGAACGCUGGCGGCGUGCUUAACACAUGCAAGUCGAACGGAAAGGCUCCUGCUUGCAGGGGUACUCGAGUGGCGAACGGGUGAGUAACACGUGGGUGAUCUGCCCUGCACUUCGGGAUAAGCCUGGGAAACUGGGUCUAAUACCGGAUAGGACGAUGGUUUGGAUGCCAUUGUGGAAAGUUUUUCGGUGUGGGAUGAGCUCGCGGCCUAUCAGCUUGUUGGUGGGGUAAUGGCCUACCAAGGCGUCGACGGGUAGCCGGCCUGAGAGGGUGUACGGCCUGAUUGGGCCUAAAAAACGGCCACGCCCCAUGGGGGGGGGAGGGGGGGGGAUUAUGCCGGAGGGGGAGGAGGCCGGGUGCAGCGCGCCGGGGGGGGGGAAGGCGGCUUUGGGGUUGAAACCCCUUUUCGCAAGGGAGAAGGGGGAGGUGGGGGGCCCGGGGAAAAAGGCCCAGACUAACUAGUGC